UGGGGAAUAUUGCGCAAUGGGCGAAAGCCUGACGCAGCAACGCCGCGUGAGUGAUGAAGGCCUUCGGGUCGUAAAGCUCUUUCGGCGGGGACGAAACGGUUCGUGACAACACCACGGACUAAUGACGGUACCCGCAUAAGAAGCACCGGCUAACUACGUGCCAGCAGCCGCGGUAAUACGUAGGGUGCAGGCGUUAAUCGGAAUUACUGGGCGUAAAGCGUGCGCAGGCGGUUUGUUAAGACAGGUGUGAAAUCCCCGGGCUUAACUUGGGAAUUGCGCUUGUAACUGGCAGGCUAGAGUGUGGCAGAGGGGGGUGGAAUUCCACGUGUAGCAGUGAAAUGCGUAGAUAUGUGGAGGAACACCGAUGGCGAAGGCAGCCCCCUGGGUUAACACUGACGCUCAUGCACGAAAGCGUGGGGAGCAAACAGGAUUAGAUACCCCCGUAGUCCCUGAGCGGGCUGGCAAGGCGCAU
rnacentral:rRNA from 1 species